rnacentral:lncRNA from 1 species
AUCAGAUGUCUUGCGAGACGUGUCAAUGCCGUCGUGCUAAUCGCACUAACUUUUAUCACAAUCACAAACGGCUCGAGUUCUAAGGGUCGAAGCACAAAACAUGGCGUAAUGAUUAAGACAGACGUAGUCGUAGUCGUAUGCAACGCACAAGCUUUGUCGUAUGAUUGUGUCGUGAUCUGUGAUUGCCUAUUCAACGGUAGGUACAUAACCUGAUCAUAUCUAUAAAUAAAUUAAGAACUAAAACAUCUAAAUAUGCUUUUUAAUUAUAUUUAGUUACAAAAAAGAAAUAAUAAUAUUAAUUAUAAUAACAUUUCUUUUACUCAAGCAAACUGAUACAAUAUAUCUGUUGGCAACUAUACUAUCAUAUUGCCAUAUAAUAAUGACGGAAAUAUUUAUUGUAUUUAACAUUAUAAUAAACAAUGAGUAGUAUUAUUUUAAUUUCAAGUUGUUCUGAAAGUAAAAUAAUAACACACUAACAUUGAAUAAUAAUAUAAGGUUUAUGAAAUUCAUUAUAUAUAAAACAACAUCUUACAUAGCAUUUUCUGGAUCAAAAACGUCUCAUGUAUAUUUUAGAAACUUUAAAAACAAGAUGUUCUUAAGAUAUCUGGGAUCAGUUAUUAUUCUCAUAGAGAUGCUUGUAUAAUAAACAAUUGUGUUUUUAGGAGAAUAUGUACGCAAUAACUAAAAUAAAAAAUACUGAUUUUUUAAUUGACGUGCUUCAUUGGAUGAGUACAUUUAUUUUGCUUAUACGAAAAAAAAACAAAUUCGAUGGUUACAUAGGCAAUGGCAUACUAGACCAAUAAAUCAAAGACGAGCUCGAUUUGGAGAUUAUAAAAAUUUAUUCCAAGAAUUAAAAAAUGAUCGAAAUCUAUUUUAUACCGCUACACUAGAAUAAUACUUAAACAAUUUACAAAAUUGGUUGAAUUAACUACGCCACAUUAAAAAAAAAAAUGUACGAGCUCUUAUUCCAGAACAUCGAUCUAUAAUAAUUUUAAGGUACCUUGCUACAGGUAAUUCACCAUUGUCAAUAGCUACAGCAUUUCGAGUUGGAGAAUCUACAGUCAAGAAGAUAAUAAAGGAAGUUUGUCUAGUACUUAUAAAUGUUUUACCACUGUAUCUUACUUUUCCUACUGAAGAAAAUUGAAAAGAAUGUGCGGAUGGAUAUUGGAAGCGAUGGAACCUUUCUAAUUGUUUUGGAUCUGUUGACGGCAAACAUAUAAGAAUGCAGUGUCCUCCAAAUUCUGGAACAUUAUUUUAUAACUAUAAAAAAUAUUAUAGCAUAGUUUUAAUGGCAGUAGCAGAUCAUUUAUAUAGAUUUACAUUAGUUGAUAUAGGAGCUUAUGGAGCUUAUUUUCUGAGGCGCCUCCGAGCGCUUUGGAAUGUUAGAAAAUGCCACUCUGUCACGCGCAGCAUUUUGGAGCGUUGUAGUCAAGUCGGUAUUUAUAUCGGUAGAAAUAAAAGUCAUACUUUCUCAAAUUAAGUGUUAAUUAAAUGCGAAUGAAAGUUUAAACGCCGUCGUUUGGAUAGUAGCGCCGAAAUCGGUAUCAAGUGGCAAAACCGUUAUUGAUAUAGCGACUAAUGUUGCUGCAAUCACUUAUAAUGAUGGUUUUCAAGGAUUACUUGCUAUAAUGAGUACACUUGAACAACUGAAGAUUAGCUACGAAUUUUAUAAUUAUUGUAUGGAAAUCGAUGAACGUUCAAGCUGCAAACCGCUCAGCAUCAAUAAACAGAAAAACGCGCGGAAGGACCUUAUAUCGCUUAGAAAGGAGGCUGAAGAGCAAUAUUUAGGUUUGGAAGGAAUGUUUUACGGUCCUGGGAUAGCAGAGUGAAGGAGACAGUGAUGGAAGAAUUUUUAAUGAUUCUCAGAUAGGAAUUAAACUAAGUAAUGAGCAAUUAAAUUUGUCAAAAGGAACUGUUAAUCCUCCUGACAGCAAUUUGAAGACAUUCGAAUAUUUUGUUGCUGAUGAUGCCUUCAGACUUUCAAAUAGAAUAAUGAAACCUUAUUCAGGAAAAAAUUUGAGUGACAAACAAAAAAUUUGUAAUUACAGAUUUUCUAGAGCACGUAGAACUGUUGAAAGCGCCUUUAGAAUCUUUGCCAAUAAAUAGAGAAUAUUUCACACAGCCAUGUGUAUACUAUCUGAAACCGCUAAUGUUGUUGUUAUAGCUUCUGUCUGUUUGCAUAAUUAUGUGCUAAAGGAAGAACAACGCAGUGGAUAUAAAUUUUAUAGUAAUGAAAUAACUUCAAAUAAUAUUAUAAAUGAGGGUGCAACUUAGUUUUCACUACCAAAUGUUGAAGAAUGUAGUGAUAAUGUCCAAGAUGCUCAAGCUCAACGAAAUACAUUAUGAGAAUAUUUUGUUUCUCCAACGGGAGAAUUGGAGUGGCAAUAUGAUUUUGUCCAUAGAGGUGUACAUGCAGAUAAAUAAAAUAUAUAAAAAUAUGAA